GUACGCUGGCGGCACGCCUAACACAUGCAAGUCGAGCGGGGUAGCAAUACCUAGCGGCAGACGGGUGCGUAACAUGUGGGAAUCUGCCUUUUGGUUCGGAACAACACGGGGAAACCUGUGCUAAUACCGGAUAAGUCCUUACGGAGAAAGUUUUAAUGCCAAAAGAUGAGCCCGCAUUUGAUUAGCUAGUUGGUGAGGUAAAAGCUCACCAAGGCGAUAAUCAAUAGCUGAUUUGAGAGGAUGAUCAGCCACACUGGGACUGAGAUACGGCCCAGACUCCUACGGGAGGCAGCAGUGGGGAAUCUUGCACAAUGGGCGAAAGCCUGAUGCAGCGAUGCCGCGUGAGUGAAGAAGGCCUUUGGGUUGUAAAGCUCUUUUGUCGGGAAAGAUAAUGACUGUACCCGAAGAAUAAGGUCCGGCUAACUUCGUGCCAGCAGCCGCGGUAAUACGAAGGGACCUAGCGUAGUUCGGAAUUACUGGGCUUAAAGAGUUCGUAGGUGGUUGAAAAAGUUAGUGGUGAAAUCCCAGAGCUUAACUCUGGAACUGCCAUUAAAACUUUUUCAGCUAGAGUAUGAUAGAGGAAAGCAGAAUUUCUAGUGUAGAGGUGAAAUUCGUAGAUAUUAGAAAGAAUACCAAUUGCGAAGGCAGCUUUCUGGAUCAUUACUGACACUGAGGAACGAAAGCAUGGGUAGCGAAGAGGAUUAGAUACCCUCGUAGUCCAUGCCGUAAACGAUGUGUGUUAGACGUUGGAAAUUUAUUUUCAGUGUCGCAGCGAAAGCGAUAAACACACCGCCUGGGGAGUACGACCGCAAGGUUAAAACUCAAAUGAAUUGACGGGGACCCGCACAAGUAGUGGAGCAUGUGGUUUAAUUCGAAGAUACGCGCAGAACCUUACCAACACUUGACAUGUUCGUCGCGACUCUAAGAGAUUAGAGUUUUCGGUUCGGCCGGACGAAACACAGGUGCUGCAUGGCUGUCGUCAGCUCGUGUCGUGAGAUGUUGGGUUAAGUCCCGCAACGAGCGCAACCCUCACUUUUAGUUGCCAUCAUUAAGUUGGGCACUCUGAAAGAACUGCCAGUGAUAAGCUGGAGGAAGGUGGGGAUGACGUCAAGUCCUCAUGGCCCUUACGUGUUGGGCUACACACGUGCUACAAUGGUAUCUACAACAGGAAGCAAGACUGCGAGGUCAAGCAAAUCCUUAAAAGAUACCUCAGUUCGGAUUGCACUCUGCAACUCGAGUGCAUGAAGCUGGAAUUACUAGUAAUCGUGGAUCAGCGUGCCACGGUGAAUGCGUUCCCGGGUCUUGUACACACCGCCCGUCACACCAUGGGAGUUGGUUCUACCUUAAGGCAAGGUUUUAAACCCUUGACCACGGUAUAGUCAGCGACUGGGGUGAAGUCGUAACAAGGUAGCCGUA
rnacentral:rRNA from 1 species